AAGCUUUGCCUCCAGGAGCAGCUAAUAGCAUCUUGGUUAGUUUUUUUAGUCCAUGUAUCAUGUUUCUCAUCAGGUUUUGUCGUCCUUCUUAUAAGCUGAUUGUUUUUUUACUUUCAUUGUAGCAUGGUCCGACAUUCAUAUUCCCCUUGGGCCAACAGCCUCACGCUGCCGCUACAAUAGCUGCCGCAUCUGUCAGACCUCCUAAUAGUGGCAUCACAUCUUCUGGACCAACAGCUACUUCUACCUCCAUGAAUGGUUCUGCAUCAGCUACUCCAGCUGGUGCCCCAACAAUGAGCUUCAGUUAUCCUGCCAUGCCGGGAAAUGAAACGCAGUACCUGGCCAUUUUGCAGAAUAACGGCUAUCCAUUUCCAGUUCCAGCACAUGUUGGUGCACAACCUGCUUAUAGAGGUGCUCCUGGGCAGCCGAUGCCAUUUUUUAAUGGUUCAUUCUAUUCCUCCCAA
rnacentral:sRNA from 1 species